rnacentral:lncRNA from 1 species
AUUUCUGGUCCUCAGGAAAAACCCCUGCAUGGGAUACUUACAAAAAUAGAUUGCAUGCUGUGUCCAGUGGUGUUUUAUUUACACACAUAUUGGUCCAGAUAUGGGGUUUGUUUCCUUGUCCAGCUGCCCAUGCCGGAUGUUUCUUUAGUGGACUGGCUCAACAGUAUCCAGUACUCAACAGGAAUCUAACACAGGAUGGGCGUCUCUCUCAGUUCCUGAGACUGACGAGGGCAAGGAGAGCUAAGGGAUGGGGGAAAUGGUGGCCCCUGGGCAGAAGCUACCAACAAGGGGCUUGCGGCUGCCAGAAAGAAGUGAUGGUGACAUUUGAAACCCACAGGGACAGAAGCCCACCAGUGUGCUGACAGGUGUC